UAAGUCACCUUGAAUUACAGUGUGACACUGAUCUUUGGUAGGAAAACAGGUCGAGUAUCUGUGACAGAGGACACUGUAAGAAACGUCUUUCACUGAAAUCUGCCCAGAUUCAUCUCUAAUGACAACGAUCACAUUCCUAAUCAAUCCUCUGACAAACUGAUUGAUCCACUGAUCCCAGACUGACCAGAGGGAUCCCAGUCCCUGCUGGAGUCAGUCAGAGCAUUUCCAUAGAGCCACUUUGCAUCAGCAGCACCAUGCUCCAGUGCUCUGGGAGAGUUUAUAGUCCUGAGAGUUGAACCCUGGAGGACUGACAGCUGUCCUUCAUGACAACAGGAGCCACAGAAAUCCUCCUCAUCAGAAACAUGACUCUGAUCUCCGUCCUCAUCUGGACUCUCCUCUGCUGCUGCUUCACAGAGUCCAGAGGCCAGGUCACAGUGUCUCAGCCUGGAGCAGCCAGCUCUGCUCUGGGAGCCUCCAUCACCAUCAGAUGUAAGACCAGCCAGAAUGUUGCUGUUUGGAACAAUAUUCACCUUUUUGCCUGGUACCAACAGAGAAAUGGACAAACUCCUAAACUGCUCAUUUUCAGUGCUAACACUCGAGCAUCAGGGACUCCAAGUCGUUUUACAGGCAGUGGAUCAAACUCUGACUUCACUCUGACCAUCAGUGGAGUCCAGGCUGAAGAUUCAGCAGUUUACUACUGUCAGAGUCAACACUGGUUGAACAGUCAGCGUUUGUUCACAGUGAAAAAGCGUCAUACAAAAACCUCCCUCAGUCAGACUGAACAGAAACUGAAGUGACUGCUGCAGCUGGAAGCUACUGUACAGACUGAUACACUUCACUGAGGAGACACACACACACAUACAGUUACACAA